CGCGCCGUAGAGGAGAGGUUUCUCGGCGGGUUCAUAUCCCGCAGACGUGGGUUCGAUUCCCACCGGCGCUA
rnacentral:tRNA from 1 species